CCUAUGUGUGGCAGCAGUGAGGAAUAUUGGUCAAUGGACGAGAGUCUGAACCAGCCAAGUAGCGUGAAUGAUGACUGCCCUCUGGGUUGUAAACUUCUUUUAUAUGGGAAUAAAACGUUCCACGUGUGGGAUUUUGUAUGUACCAUAUGAAUAAGGAUCGGCUAACUCCGUGCCAGCAGCCGCGGUAAUACGGAGGAUCCGAGCGUUAUCCGGAUUUAUUGGGUUGAAAGUGAGCGUAGGUGGAUUGUUAAGUCAGUGGUGAAAGUUUGCGGCUCAACCGGAAAAUUGCAGUUGAAACUGGCAGUCUUGAGUACAGUAGAGGGGGGCGGAAUUCGAGGUGUAGCGGUGAAAUGCGUAGAGAUCACGAAGAACGCCGAUGGCGAAGGCAGUUCACUGGACUGCAACUGACACUGAGGCUCGAAAGUGUGGGUAGCAAACAGGAUUAGAUACCCCAGUAGUC
rnacentral:rRNA from 1 species